rnacentral:rRNA from 1 species
GACGUAGGGCGCGAGCGUUGUCCGGAUUUAUUGGGCGUAAAGAGCUCGUAGGCGGUCUGCUAAGUUUGGAGUGACAGUUGGUGGCUUAACUGCCAAAGUGCUUCGAAAACUGACAGACUUGAGGGCUUCAGAGGGACACGGAAUUCCGGGUGGAGUGGUGAAAUGCGUAGAGAUCCGGAGGAACACCAAAGGCGAAGGCAGUGUCCUGGGGAGUACCUGACGCUCAGGUGCGAAAGCCAGGGGAGCGAACGGG